GUGGAUACUGAAUUCCCACAACUCCACAGAGACCACUAAAGGCCACAGCUCCACUUUGCCUUGGCCUAAUAUCAGAGACUACACCUAGCGGCGACACCCAUUCCUGAGGAAGAGCUGACGGGCGCUGGAACCACUGAGCUAAAUCCCCGGCCCUGCAAAAUUUGUUUUUAAUGAAAAUAGAAAUUCAAACCAUUCCUGAACACAUAUCUCGGGCAACAUAAAAAGCUAUUUAUUGCAUCUUUACUAAAUUUAAUUCAUGAGAAGGCACAGAUGUGGAAACAACCCUGACAAUUCUUCCACCUCCCAUGAAUUGAAGUCUGGAAAUAGCCAACGGACUGUUCCUCUGAAAAUCUCCUUGACGGGCUGAGAGACAGACUGAAUGGUGCUCAAGUGAACCCAAUCAGCGCUGUGGUAGGGAACGCAACUCUGAGGUGGGGUUAAACACACAAGUUAGAACUGGUUUGUCAAAGAGAAGAACUCGUGAGCUCAAGGAACCAAGAUCCAUGGGAACAGUGAGGUCAAGAAUGAGCCUCAGGAAACCCUGAGCCUUGCAUCUGCUGAGGAGGGCUGGCUUUGACGAAUGACUUUGGGUUACUCAGUCUUACAGAUCUCAUGGGGAAUGUUUAUUGUUGUUCAACGUGAAGAUCAAGAACUGGACUCCUCAUUUGCCUGUACUUGUUCUGAGAGCUGUGUGAUUUGUCAUCAAAUGAAAUCAUUUAGCAACUGCAAGUGACUGUGACUCCGCUGACCUCUGAUACCUUUCCCAGAAGAGGAGUCCAGGACCAACACAUGACUUUGAUAUUGUGAAUGAUUUAAGAAAUAUACCACUGGGACCCAAAAAUGCUAAGCAGCAUUGUUCCAGGAAGCAGUGAGGGUAGCCACCAACAUCACCAUGAAGUUCCCACCUUUGUGACUUCAUCUUAUCUUCAGCACCUCCGAGAACCAUAUUUCUUCCCUUUGGUAUGAACUGCAUCAAGAAGAACCCAGAGAAAUUAUGAAUUGCUACUGCUGAGAUUAGGAUUGCAUCUUGUGCCCUGUCCCUCACUGGUUUCCUCUGUAGUGGUGAAGAUGACAUGUCCAAGACUACCAUCUCUCUACAGCAGUCAGGAAACACUGGAAGCCAACCAAAGUCAAAAUCAGGGGUCCCGGAAGCAGAUUCUGCCCCUUCAGGUCUUCAGAUGUGUCCGUAGGCCUGUCUGAGGUUGAAUUGCAACCUUGCUGAAGUCUUUAUCCUGGAGCACUCAGCAAAUACACUCUCGGAUUUCUCACCCUCAGAAUCUAUGGCGUCAGCCACUCUUUAUGUUGCUGAGAUUGGGGGAAAGCAUUCAACAGGGCAUCUCUAGUUUGAAAAUCCCAAAUGCAAAAUGUUCCAGAACACCAAAGAGUUUGAGCCUCCCUCCACAUGACAUCUCAAAUGGAAAACUAUGCACCUGAUUGCGUAUGAU
ensembl:lncRNA